rnacentral:rRNA from 1 species
AGUGAACGCUGGCGGUAGGCCUAACACAUGCAAGUCGAACGGCAGCACAGUAAGAGCUUGCUCUUACGGGUGGCGAGUGGCGGACGGGUGAGGAAUACAUCGGAAUCUACUUUUUCGUGGGGGAUAACGUAGGGAAACUUACGCUAAUACCGCAUACGACCUACGGGUGAAAGCAGGGGAUCUUCGGACCUUGCGCGAUUGAAUUAGCCGAUGUCGGAUUAGCUAGUUGGCGGGGUAAAGGCCCACCAAGGCGACGAUCCGUAGCUGGUCUGAGAGGAUGAUCAGCCACACUGGAACUGAGACACGGUCCAGACUCCUACGGGAGGCAGCAGUGGGGAAUAUUGGACAAUGGGCGCAAGCCUGAUCCAGCCAUACCGCGUGGGUGAAGAAGGCCUUCGGGUUGUAAAGCCCUUUUGUUGGGAAAGAAAAGCAGCAGGUUAAUACCCCGCUGUUCUGACGGUACCCAAAGAAUAAGUACCGGCUAACUUCGUG